CAGUCAAAAGCAGAAUGCCAGUUGUAAAUCGUUCGUGACAGCUUCUUAGAGAGUAUUAUUACUGCUGUGCAACGCUGGAGCCGCCAACGAUGUGCUGACGAUACGGAGGACUGACUGGUGCAAGAUUAGAGUCUUACUCUGCAACAGCAGCGAUGUCAUUUAGCAAACUAUAGUAUUCUCUAAAUCCUGCGUGUCCUUGACAGGCUGAGGGGCUACCAAUUCGCCCGCACUGCCUUCUCAGAGUUGCCAGAAGCACCGCACGGUGCCGGGCAUCAACUCCUGGAGUGCGCAGCAGCGCCAGGACAGCCGCUGGAAGGACACCUCCAAAAGCCAAGAAAAUAGGACACAAACACGGACGCUAGCUGCUUUAAAGAGUGACUUACCCGAGCGGCGUGUCCACAUCUGUUUUCGGAAACGACGCCACUCUCUGUUGAGUUUAAAGGCUUCAGCGAAGAAGUGCAACUCUCCGCCUUCCGAGAAGGCCGAGCCAAUCAGAACGCGCGGAGGGCGCUGCUUCGUCCAAUCAGAUCGUCUGCGUGGAUAGAAGCCGUGAAGUAGGAAGGGCGGACGGCGACAUCAAGUGUUGGAAGAGGAUAUCCCUCCGCUUUGGUCCUGUUUUCAACACGACCAGCUGAUUGUGCACGUUGGAAUGAUUUAGUACCAAGUGUUUGUAACAGCCUGUUAAACAUUGUUGAAUUCCACGGGUUUGAUAAUGUACUGUAAUGUUUAAAUCGGCGGACUUGGCGUGCUUACUCAAGAUUCACAUUUAGUUUUACAGUAAAAACCAAAACAAAAAAACACAGUGCGUCUCCGUCUGUUGAAGCACAUUUCUUCGCUGUAGUUCAUUUUAAGUUAAAUAGAAGUAAAAACACAGUACCCAGUACUUUCACUAUCGUUGCACUAUUUUACCCAUUCUCGGCGGAAGAACACUAUUGUUUACAGUGAGCGGAUGAGUGAUCUACAGUGGCAGAAAACAGCGUGGCGCGCGACAGAAGUCCAACAGGAAUGAACAUUGGCACGAGCGCGCGUCUGGAGCGUCCAGGUGUUGACGUCACGUAAUUCUUUCAUCAAAACGUUCGUGUUUGCGCACAAAAAACCCUCAUCUUACGUCUGGGGAGUACUGGAGAAAAUACCUUUAACCUUUUGUUAUUUUCACUGUUGUUACUCUUUGUUUAUUAUUUGUGUUAGUAACAUGCAAAGAAAAGUCUCUCCUACUAUGAAAUUUUCCCUGUAUUUGGUUUAUUGGAUGAAUUGAUCAAACUUUGAAAUUGUAUGACAUCAUGGAGAUUCUAUAAUGUGGUUGUUGAUAUAUUGUGUUUAAUAUGAUAACAGCGUUUUUGUUUCAAUCCACUUACUCUACUCAUUUAAAUCACGUGACACCCACGUGAGUAUCUUUAAAUGUAACACAAUGUGAAGCUUGGUUUGAAAAAUAAUGAAUAAUCUAAAAGAAAAGAUGGUCAUGUGACUGAUGAAGACAUUUCAGGUUAUAUUAUUUAGUUAUUCCCUCUAAUUUACGUGCUAUAAAUUGGUCAAACAAAGAAAUGGAUUAAUUGUUUCGAUAUUUUUUAAAACAAAUUCCUCAUUAAAGCAGCACACCAGUUCUGUCUGUGUUCUGACUCCAUCUCUCAGUUUUGGGCAGCUGAGAGCGAUGUUCUGCGGAUGAGAGGCGUGUAAGAGAGCAUCCCUCUUUACAGUGACCUGCCGCUCCGCUGCACUCCAGAGCAUCCUGUCAGCUGCUUAGCAACGGUCAGUGUCCAUGGCAACGGGUGCAACAAACGCCCCCUCCUGAUGCACACUUCAAUUAGCCCCAAAUUACUGCAAUCAGAGGAGGAGAGUCACGUGUCCUCGUAAUAGACAGAAACCUCGAGCAAUAACAAUCACCAGCUGCCAGUAAAGAAGAAGAACAAGGCAUGAAGGAGGAGGAGGAGGAGGAGGAGGAGGAGGACUGCACUCCUCGACUGAUGGGGUAUACGAGCUGUUCUGAAUCCUCUAAACAAUUGUAUCAAUCACAGAAACUUUUUUAAUUAGGAGAAAACUAGAGUCAAAAAAGAAAGAACAAAAAUAGACAACUGUUGCCAUCUAGUGGAUUAAAAUAUAUGACAAGAAAUAUUAAAUCGUCUUCAGUCCAUAAACGUAGAAGGUUUUGGUGUUGUUGUUUUUUUUUAAAUGUAUGAUUGGAAUUUUAAUUAACAUCAUUUCAGACAGGAUGUUCAACCUGAUGACUUUAUUUUCUUCUUUGAAUCACAAUGUUAUACUUUUCAUUAAUCGAAAUACUUUUUCAUUAUCUUGAUUAUUUUUUAAAUCACGAGGCAUUUUUAAUCAAAUGUUAAGGAAGGAUCAAUAGAAAAAAUAUGACAUUUAAAUUAUUAUUAUUAUUAUUUGGACUUGUAUUUUUAAACUGAAUUCACUGGAAUAAAUCACUAUUUGGAUGAAAUGUGCUGUUAUAAAAUAAGUCGCCAAAGGAGGGAGACAAAGGCUUAAAAUGCUCCGAGGGCUGAUUUGCAGGAUCUCCAACAGGGGGCGAAAAACUGCAGGAGCCCCUAAUAAAAAGGUACAAAAAUGA
rnacentral:lncRNA from 1 species